GCAGAGCAUCCUACGGGAGCAGCAGUGGGGAAUAUUGCACAAUGGGCGCAAGCCUGAUGCAGCCAUGCCGCGUGUAUGAAGAAGGCCUUCGGGUUGUAAAGUACUUUCAGCAGUGAGGAAGGUGGGUAUGUUAAUAGCAUAUUCAUUUGACGUUAGCUGCAGAAGAAGCACCGGCUAACUCCGUGCCAGCAGCCGCGGUAAUACGGAGGGUGCGAGCGUUAAUCGGAAUUACUGGGCGUAAAGCGCAUGCAGGUGGUUUGUUAAGUCAGAUGUGAAAGCCCGGGGCUCAACCUCGGAAUUGCAUUUGAAACUGGCAAACUAGAGUACUGUAGAGGGGGUAGAAUUUCAGGUGUAGCGGUGAAAUGCGUAGAGAUCUGAAGGAAUACCGGUGGCGAAGGCGGCCCCCUGGACAGAUACUGACACUCAGAUGCGAAAGCGUGGGGAGCAAACAGGAUUAGAUACCCUGGUAG
rnacentral:rRNA from 1 species